rnacentral:rRNA from 1 species
GCCUUGGCAUCAGGAGCCGAUGAAGGACGUGAUAAGCUGCGAUAAGCUUCGGGUAGGCGCACAUAGCCAGUGAUCCGGAGAUUUCCGAAUGAGGGAACUCACAUGGGAACCCCCAUGUACCGUAUAGUGAAUACAUAGCUAUACGGAGGUAAACCUAGGGAACUGAAACAUCUAAGUACCUAGAGGAAGAGAAAGAAAAAUCGAUGUUCUGAGUAGCGGCGAGCGAAAGGGAAAGAGCCCAAACCAGAGAUUUAUCUCUGGGGUUGCGGACAGAACAUUAAAGUGGAGGCUAUUGUAAUUGAAGAGUACUGGAA